ACGGGGUGCAGCAGGCGCGAAAACUCUGCAAUAAGCGAAAGCUUGACAGGGUUAUUCUGAGUGAUUUCCGCUAGGGAAAUCUUUUGGCACCUCUAAAAAUGGUGCAGAAUAAGGGGUGGGCAAGCCUGGUGUCAGCCGCCGCGGUAAUACCAGCACCCCGAGUGGUCGGGACGAUUAUUGGGCCUAAAGCAUCCGUAGCCGGUUCUACAAGUCUUCCGUUAAAUCCACCUGCUUAACAGAUGGGCUGCGGAGGAUACUAUAGAGCUAGGAGGCGGGAGGGGCAAGCGGUACUUAGUGGGUAGGGGUAAAAUCCGUUGAUCCAUUGAAGACCACCAGUGGCGAAGGCGGCUUGCCAGAACGCACUCGACGGUGAGGGAUGAAAGCUGGGGGAGCAAACCGGAUUAGAUACCCGGGUAGUCCCAGCUGUGAACGAUGCAGACUCGGUGAUGAAUAGGCUUCGUGCCUAUUCAGUGCCGCAGGGAAGCCGUUAAGUCUGCCGCCUGGGGAGUACGGUCGCAAGACUGAAGCUUAAAGGAAUUGGCGGGGGAGCAC
rnacentral:rRNA from 1 species